rnacentral:rRNA from 1 species
UACAGAGGUCCCAAGCGUUGUUCGGAUUCACUGGGCGUAAAGGGUGCGUAGGUGGUGAGGUAAGUCGGAUGUGAAAUCUCCAGGCUCAACCUGGAAAUGGCAUCGGAAACUACCUCGCUGGAGGUUUGGAGGGGGGACUGGAAUUCUCGGUGUAGCAGUGAAAUGCGUAGAUAUCGAGAGGAACACCAGUGGCGAAGGCGAGUCCCUGGACAACACCUGACACUGAGGCACGAAAGCUAGGGGAGCAAACAGG